rnacentral:RNase_P_RNA from 1 species
UUGAAUAGUCGCGUAUAGCAAGGUCGAAAGGCAGCGUACGAGGAAAGUCCGGGCUCCAUAGAGCAAUGAUGCUGGAUAACGUCCAGUGAGGGCAACCUUAAGGAAAGUGCAACAGAAAAUAACCGCCAAUAAGAAGUUAGAUGUCAAACAUCUAAUUUUUAGUUGGUAAGGGUGAAAAGGCGAGGUAAGAGCUCACCGCAAAUAUGGUGACAUAUUUGGUCAGUGUAAACCCCAUCUGGAGCAACACCGAGCCAAGAAGGUUAAGACUGCUCGUCAUCUUCUUAAUUUGGUGGCAAGAGGCAUAUAGCAAUAUGUGCACUAGAUAAAUGACUAUUCACGACAGAACCCGGCUUAUAGAUUUACUC